CGGGUAUUUAAGAUUCAUAUCUCAGCCGAAGCCUACACGAUGGAUCACGAAGGCUACACGAUGGAUUACGAAGGCUACACAAUAGAUUACGAUGAUGGCGCGAUGGCCAUACGAUGUCUUAAAGACGUCGUGUACAGCUUACGAUGCAUUUAAAUUAUAUGCCGAAGGCAUCACGCGUUUUAAAUUGUUUGAUCUAUAUUGAAUAUAUAUUAUAUUGUACAUUUAAUUUCUGGUUUAAUCAUAAGACGGAAGACCGUGGGCUUGUAGGGUAAAACUUGACUCAGAGUUUCUGCAUAUAAUGCCACCAAAAUCAGGGAG
rnacentral:lncRNA from 1 species